AAUGUUUCAUCACUCCAUGUAUCCUCUCCAUCCCAGAGGCUAUCAAAGAUUAGAAGCCAAAAAAAAUGCACUCACGAUGAAAUGUUCUCUGAACUCAUGCAGUCCUCCCAUGCUGAAAGAACUCAGCACAAUGCGUGGAGGGAGACAAUAUCAGAG